CCAUGUUCAACCACCACCUUAAGAGCCCAAUCCAACAUGUUCAUUUCAACAACUAAAAUAUUAAUUAUUUUUCGAUAACUCAACAAAUUUACUAAACAUUACGCUAAAAUACCUCUGAAGCUACUUAUCCUUCCUGGACAAUUUGUUAUCUUCCUCAUUCACUCUUCUCUUAAUACUGUCUUGAAAUUAGUCAAUACAAUUUAACUCAACUCCUUCUCUAUCA
rnacentral:lncRNA from 1 species